GACCGAUAGUGAACCAGUACCGUGAGGGAAAGGCGAAAAGAACCCCGGCGAGGGGAGUGAAAAAGAACCUGAAACCGUGUACGUACAAGCAGUGGGAGCACCUUCGGGUGUGACUGCGUACCUUUUGUAUAAUGGGUCAGCGACUUAUAUUCUGUAGCAAGGUUAACCGUAUAGGGGAGCCGCAGGGAAACCGAGUCUUAACUGGGCGUUAAGUUGCAGGGUAUAGACCCGAAACCCGGUGAUCUAGCCAUGGGCAGGUUGAAGGUUGGGUAACACUAACUGGAGGACCGAACCGACUAAUGUUGAAAAAUUAGCGGAUGACUUGUGGCUGGGGGGGAAAGGCCAAUCAAACCGGGAGAUAGCUGGUUCUCCCCGAAAGCUAUUUAGGUAGCGCCUCGUGAAUUCAUCUUCGGGGGUAGAGCACUGUUUCGGCUAGGGGGUCAUCCCGACUUACCAACCCGAUGCAAACUACGAAUACCGAAGAAUGUUAUCACGGGAGACACACGGCGGGUGCUAACGUCCGUCGUGAAGAGGGAAACAACCCAGACCGCCAGCUAAGGUCCCAAAGUCAUGGUUAAGUGGGAAACGAUGUGGGAAGGCACAGACAGCCAGGAUGUUGGCUUAGAAGCAGCCAUCAUUUAAAGAAAGCGUAAUAGCUCACUGGUCGAGUCGGCCUGCGCGGAAGAUGUAACGGGGCUAAACCAUGCACCGAAGCUGCGGCAGCGACACUAUGUGUUGUUGGGUAGGGGAGCGUUCUGUAAGCCUGCGAAGGUGGCCUGUGAGGGCUGCUGGAGGUAUCAGAAGUGCGAAUGCUGACAUAAGUAACGAUAAAGCGGGUGAAAAGCCCGCUCGCCGGAAGACCAAGGGUUCCUGUCCAACGUUAAUCGGGGCAGGGUGAGUCGACCCCUAAGGCGAGGCCGAAAGGCGUAGUCGAUGGGAAACAGGUUAAUAUUCCUGUACUUGGUGUUACUGCGAAGGGGGGACGGAGAAGGCUAUGUUAGCCGGGCGACGGUUGUCCCGGUUUAAGCAUGUAGGCGGAGGUUCCAGGUAAAUCCGGUACCUUUUAACGCUGAGGUGUGAUGACGAGGCACUACGGUGCUGAAGUAACAAAUGCCCUGCUUCCAGGAAAAGCCUCUAAGCAUCAGGUAACAUCAAAUCGUACCCCAAACCGACACAGGUGGUCAGGUAGAGAAUACCAAGGCGCUUGAGAGAACUCGGGUGAAGGAACUAGGCAAAAUGGUGCCGUAACUUCGGGAGAAGGCACGCUGGUGUGUAGGUGAAGUCCCUGCGGACGGAGCUGAGACCAGUCGAAGAUACCAGCUGGCUGCAACUGUUUAUUAAAAACACAGCACUGUGCAAACACGAAAGUGGACGUAUACGGUGUGACGCCUGCCCGGUGCCGGAAGGUUAAUUGAUGGGGUUAUCCGUAAGGAGAAGCUCUUGAUCGAAGCCCCGGUAAACGGCGGCCGUAACUAUAACGGUCCUAAGGUAGCGAAAUUCCUUGUCGGGUAAGUUCCGACCUGCACGAAUGGCGUAAUGAUGGCCAGGCUGUCUCCACCCGAGACUCAGUGAAAUUGAACUCGCUGUGAAGAUGCAGUGUACCCGCGGCAAGACGGAAAGACCCCGUGAACCUUUACUAUAGCUUGACACUGAACAUUGAGCCUUGAUGUGUAGGAUAGGUGGGAGGCUUUGAAGCGUGGACGCCAGUCUGCGUGGAGCCAACCUUGAAAUACCACCCUUUAAUGUUUGAUGUUCUAACGUAGGCCCCUUAUCGGGGUUGCGGACAGUGUCUGGUGGGUAGUUUGACUGGGGCGGUCUCCUCCCAAAGAGUAACGGAGGAGCACGAAGGUUAGCUAAUCCUGGUCGGACAUCAGGAGGUUAGUGCAAUGGCAUAAGCUAGCUUGACUGCGAGCGUGACGGCGCGAGCAGGUGCGAAAGCAGGUCAUAGUGAUCCGGUGGUUCUGAAUGGAAGGGC
rnacentral:rRNA from 1 species